AUCUAUUCUUAAAUAGGUCUCGAGGUUUCAUUCAAAUUUUCUAGGUAAAAGGAAUUACUAACUAUUGAUACACUUUGCCCAGAUUAAGAAGAUAAACAUUACUAAUAAUAGUAACAAUAAUAUAAAUCCCCAAAAUAAUUAAUAAUUUAAUAGUAAAUCCAAACUUAUAAAAUAAUUAGCAAUUUAUAAAGAAUAGGAUUGUUUAUAAAAAUAUGGUCCAAUAUACUAUGAAUAAUUGAAGCUCAUAUUGCCCAAAUAAAUCAAAAUUUCGGCCCAUAAAAAUAUAAAAGCCCAACUAAUUAAGGGAAGCCCAAAUGAAUUAAAGUUAGAAAAAAGAAACUCUCUCUCUCUCUCUUCAAAGCAAUCGGCUCUCCCUCCCUCUUCUCUCACUGCGCCGCCCACCUCCCUCUUUCGCACAUAUCAAUCGACGAGCGGCCAUGGAGGGCCGCCGCCACUGCCGUUCUCCCCCUCUGCUGUGACCGGCGGCGCUUGUCCUUCGGCCGCGCCGCCCCGUUCGUCUUCCUCGGAUCCUAUUAUCUCUCUUCCUCUCACGCUCUCAGCGGAAACAGCAGCUCAAGAAAGACUGCUGCCCCUGCUGCUCUGGCGUCUGCCGCCUCACGCCGCCACCGUCGUCCGGUCUGUCUCGCCAUCAUCCAGCCACCGGUCGCUGCCGCCUUGUGCCGCCGACUUCCCCGAUCAGACAUUCAGCCCCAGAAACGAAAAGGAUACUCUCCCCACCCUUCGACUCUCAACAACCCAAACCAAGAUAAGUAAAGGAAUUUCAGAUUUGAAAAAAAAAAUUGAAUCCUGAGUAUUCUGAUUUUAUCAAAAGUCUUGAUUUAUAAGUAUGUUCUGGUGGUUGACAGAUUGAAGAUUUAUGAGUUGGGAAGGGUCCGAUUAUGAGAAUAGAGUCUGCAGAUUGGUUUUUAGGAAAUUUAUGCCAAGUAUGAUUUUGGUUGAGGUUUUACGGAUUAUGAAAAUUGUCCACUGAAAAAAAAUGCUAAGUUGAGAUUCAAGCGAGUGAGGACAUGUCAAAGCUUGAAGAGUAAAAAGAUAAAGAGUAAAGGAGCUGAAGAGAAAAGGAUAGAUGGAAUUUACCGAUCAAUAAUUGAUUGAUUUUGUGUCGAUAUGUGGGGAACAAUGCAAAGAAAUGGUUUUUAUAGGAAGGUAAAAGGCAGCGUGGUCGUUUGUAGAUGCUGCAAUUGUUUGUAAAGAAAAAUGCAAAUUGAAGAAGUUCGACGUGGGUUCCUACAA